rnacentral:lncRNA from 1 species
UGUCAAUUUCAAUUCUUCAAGCUGGGGGCAACCGCAUAUCAAGUUUUCCAAAACAUCUUGAGCCACCAUGACCGAACUUAGAUGAAUACUUUUCAUGUUCUUGAAGCCUUCAAAUGUCGUUGGAGGUUUAAGCCCACACCAAUGUAAUUUUAAACACUGCAAACUUUGACAUGAGAAUAAGCACCAAGGUAUCUUAUAGUGUUCCUCUGUACAAACUUCCACCACAAGCUCUUUAAUAGACCUUCCAGUUAGAUGAAGAAUCCAUCGAUCAAUAUCAGCACUAUCACUCACAAGAUUCUCAUAGUCAACGAACUUAAACAUGUUGAUUACCCCAGAAUGAACUAAUAGUACAUGAUCAACAAUUUUCAAAAACUUGUUCUCAAUAACUAAAGGGUCUUCGGAAGCUAAAUGAGAGACGCAUUGUUCAUCAAACACCAGAUUUGGCAGUGUGUACCAUUUGUUCCUCCAUUUGUUGGAUAAAACACUUGUUCUCACUGCUUCUUUAAUUGGCAAGUAAGAUAGAAUACAGUCUAUUAAAUGACCUGGUAAGCAACUAAUUCUAUCCGGCUCGACAUCAAUCACUUCUCGGGGAGUAGACUUUGUUUCCUUUAGAUAAGAUAUAUUCAUAUUCAAACAAAGGUACAUACAUCAAUAGAUGAAUCGAAAAACAAACUAGGUUAGUGUACAUAUGUAACUAAAUGUGAAUACAAAAUCAUAGCUAUGUCCACUGAGAGAAAACUCAAACUAAUAUAUCUGACUUCAUUUAUAAGAAAUAUGUUUGGUUACAUUUAAAUAUUUCCGGAACCUUUAUAACAAGGAGGUAGUUGAUAAUUACAGUACAUGAAUUUAUUCCCAUAUUUGGGGAGAAUAUUUUACCACUGUUUUCUUUGGGAAAUAUUUUCUUUUCCUAGGAGUCUUUUAUACCCGAAAAUAAAAUUUAAUAAACUUGUAAGAAACACAUGUAUGCAUUUUCAUUUUUCUAUCAUUUUAUUCAUAGGAAUAUAAAAAUAUAACUUGAAACAAAACACCCCUAUAGCUAGGUAUUUACUCUUGUGAAUUUAAAUGAUAAAAUGGUGUGGUUACACUUCACUUACAAUAGAAGGAUGGAAAAAUUCACUCAUGAUGAAUAUUAUAUUACAGACACAGAAGAAGAAUUUACCAUUUUCAAGCUACCGAUUGAGUAGUUCAAAAAUAUUUUGAAGGUGAUUGCUACAAGCC